AAGGCUGACGCGGACCUCACGUUUCUGCUGAUGCGAUUUUAUAAGCAAUGGCAAGUCACAUCAACGCCAAGCAAGGCACACCCUUGACCUUCAGAGCCACCAGUGUCCAGUAUCACUGAGGAAUCGGAUCGUGAUCUCAUUGUUGCUGAACCGGGUGUCCAGACACUGUCUGCAGGGGGAGAAGUAGGAGAUUUGGAAUCAAGCAUGCACUCUCUGAGCAUUGCUGAAGAACACCGCCCAGACUCUCCAGACAAAGAAGAUACCAAUGACCUGCGGAACACUGUCAUUGAGAUGGAUGACCUUUGGGCCGAUCCAAGUAAAAUGGGCUUGGAAGAUGGAGACAGCUCAGAUGAGGAUUUUGUCCCUUCUAUUCACCUACGGUAUAUUUGUAUUGUGAAUUUAUUAUUUUCUGGGUGAAUUUAUUAAUAUGCUUAGGCAUUUUUCAAACACGACACCUUGACUUGAGACUGCCACAGCAACAGUGCAGUUAUGUUGAUGCUUGGGGUAGCAUGCCCGGGUUCCCCACCAUUUCAAGUGACUAAUAAUUUUGGAAUUUGUAGGUUAGUAGAUGACACUUCACCCCACCCCCCACACACUUCUUUUGAGUCCCUUGCCCCAUUUCACACAUGGGGACAUGGUAGCCAGUAAAUGUGUGAAGACUCUUACAAGUCUGCUGGUAGAAAAGUUAUGUACUUGUGUGAAUUUGCAUGUGUUGAUUUUGUAAAUGUCUAUUUUUUAUUUUUAUAUGUGGUGCUACUUUCUUUACAUCAGUUAUGCCCCUUCGGACACUCCUUGUGGAAGUGAAAUUCUCAGCCGACCCUGAGGUUUGGUAUGCAGGGUGGUGACUUCAUGCUGUCUGCCAACAUUCUCUUGUCUGGCAACAACUACAGGAAAGUAGCCUUGCUGUUCAAGUUUAUGGCGAUGGGGAUGGUCUCAGAGUCAACUUUCUUCAGGAUACAAGAUUCAAUUCAAUUCAAUUCAAUUUUAUUUAUAUAGCGCCAAAUCAUGAAACAUGUCAUCUCAAGGCACUUU